AUAGUUGUGUUAUGCUAACAAUAGCAUAUUGAAAAAGAAUUGUCAAGAGUUUAAAAAUUUGAGCGGGUUGACCCCGUAGAGACUACACGCUGGAUCGAGCACCUUUCAUGUUCGGAAUUUGUAUGCGGUUUGCAAACAUUACAGAUGUUAAGUAACUGCAUCAAAAAAUUUCAAUGUGAGAAAGGUGCUCGAAAGAUAUAGUCCGAACUCCAUGGCGACAUGGAG
rnacentral:autocatalytically_spliced_intron from 1 species